rnacentral:rRNA from 1 species
AACAGGGAUUGCCCUAGUAACGGCGAGUGAAGCGGCAACAGCUCAAAUUUGAAAUCUGGCUUCGGCCCGAGUUGUAAUUUGCAGAGGAUGUUUCUGGCGCGGUGCCUUCCGAGUUCCCUGGAACGGGACGCCACAGAGGGUGAGAGCCCCGUAUGGUUGGACACCAAGCCUGUGUGAAGCUCCUUCGACGAGUCGAGUAGUUUGGGAAUGCUGCUCAAAAUGGGAGGUAAAUCUCUUCUAAAGCUAAAUACCGGCCAGAGACCGAUAGCGCACAAGUAGAGUGAUCGAAAGAUGAAAAGCACCUUGAAAAGGGGGUUAAACAGUACGUGAAAUUGUUGAAAGGGAAGCGCUUGUGACCAGACUUGCGCCGGGCGGCUCAUCCGGGGUUCUCCCCGGUGCACUCCGCCCGGUUCAGGCCAGCAUCGGUUCUCGUUGGGGGAUAAGAACGGCAGGAACGUGGCCCUCCUUCGGGAGGGUGUUAUAGCCUGCCGUACGAUACCCUGAUGGGGACCGAGGUUCGCGCUCCGCA